UACGUAGGGGGCAAGCGUUGUCCGGAUUUACUGGGCGUAAAGGGCGCGCAGGCGGCUCAUUUUGUCAGGCGUGAAAGCCCCGGGCUUAACCUGGGAACUGCGUUUGAUACGGAUGGGCUAGAGUUCGGGAGAGGAGAGUGGAAUUCCCAGUGUAGAGGUGAAAUUCGUAGAUAUUGGGAAGAACACCGGUGGCGAAGGCGGCUCUCUGGACCGAGACUGACGCUGAGGCGCGAAAGCGUGGGGAGCAAACAGG
rnacentral:rRNA from 1 species